CUCGUAGGUGGUUGCGUAAGUCGGAUGUGAAAACUCAGGGCUUAACUCUGAGACGCCAUCCGAUACUGCGCUGACUUGAGUCCGGUAGAGGAGUGUGGAAUUCCUAGUGUAGCGGUGAAAUGCGCAGAUAUUAGGAGGAACACCUAUUGCGAAGGCAGCACUCUGGGCCGGUACUGACACUGAGGAGCGAAAGCGUGGGUAGCAAACAGGAUUAGAUACCCUGGUAGUCC
rnacentral:rRNA from 1 species